UACGUAGGUGACCAGCGUUGUCCGGAUUUACUGGGCGUAAAGAGCGCGCAGGCGGUCGUUCAAGUCGAGUGUGAAAGCCCCCGGCUCAACUGGGGAGGGUCAUUCGAUACUGAUCGACUCGAAGGCAGGAGAGGGAAGCGGAAUUCCCGGUGUAGUGGUGAAAUGCGUAGAUAUCGGGAGGAACACCUGUGGCGAAAGCGGCGCACUGGACCAUAACUGACGCUGAGGCGCGAAAGCUAGGGGAGCAAACAGG
rnacentral:rRNA from 1 species